CUUCUCCAGUAAGGAUAUAGUCAAUCACUUCUCCAGUAAGGACAUAGUCAACCACUUCUCCAGUAAGGACAUGGUCAACCACUUCUCCAGUAAGGUCAUAGUCAACCACUUCUCCAGUAAGGACAUAGUCAAUCACUCCUCCAGUGUAGUAAGGACAUAGUCAACCACUUCUCCAGUAAGGACAUAGUCAACCACUUCUCCAUUAAGGACACAGUCAACCACUUCUCCAGUAAGGACAUAGUCAACCACUUCUCCAGUAAGGACAUAGUCAACCACUUCUCCAGUAAGGACAUAGUCAACCACUUCUCCAGUAAGGACAUAGUCAACCACUUCUCCAGUGUAGUAAGGACACAGUCAACCACUUCUCCAGUGUAGUAAGGACACAGUCAAACACUUCUCCAGUGUAGUAAGGACACAGUCAACCACUUCUCCAUUAAGGACACAGUCAACCACUUCUCCAGUAAGGACACAGUCAACCACUUCUCCAUUAAGGACACAGUCAACCACUUCUCCAGUAAGGUCAUAGUCAACCACUUCUCCAGUAAGGUCAUAGUCAAUCACUUCUCCAGUAAGGACAUAGUCAACCACUUCUCCAGUAAGGAUACAGUCAACCACUUCUCCAGUAAGUAUACAGUCAACCACUUCUCCAUUAAGGACACAGUCAACCACUUCUCCAGUAAGGACACAGUCAACCACUUCUCCAGUAAGGUCAUAGUCAACCACUUCUCCAGUAAGGACAUAGUCAACCACUUCUCCUUCCUGUUUGUCCCUGUCCGGGGGUAUCAUCGGAUGGGGCCACAGUGUCUCCUGACCCUUCCUGUCUCAGCCUCCAGUAUUUAUGCUGCAGUAGUUUAAUGUGUCGGGGGCUAGGGUCAGUCUGUUAUAUCUGGAGUAUUUCUCCUGUGUGACUUUAAGUAUGCUCUCUCUUUCUUUCUCUCUCUCGGAGGACCUGAGCCCUAGGACCAUGCCUCAGGACUACCUGGCCUGAUGACUCCUUGCUGUCCCCAGUCCACCUGGCCUGGCCAUGCUGCUGCUCCAGUUUCAACUGUUCUGCCUGCGGCUAUGGAACCCUGACCUGUUCACCGGAGGUGCUACCUGUCCCAGACCUGCUGUUUUCAACUCUCUAGAGACAGCAGGAGCGGUAGAGAUACGCUUAAUGAUCAGCUAUGAAAAGCCAACUGACAUUUACUCCUGAGAUGCUGACUUGCUGCACCCUCGACAAUUACUGUGAUUAUUAUUAUUUGACCCUGCUGGUCAUUUAUGAACAUUUGAACAUCUUGGCCAUGUUAUGUUAUAAUCUCCACCCAGCACCCCUCAUAG
ensembl:lncRNA